rnacentral:rRNA from 1 species
UACAGAGGGUGCUAGCGUUGUUCGGAAUCAUUGGGCGUAAAGGGCGUGUAGGCGGUUUGUUAAGUCAUGUGUGAAAUCCCUCGGCUCAACCGGGGAACGACGCAUGAAACUGGCAAGCUAGAGUACCAAAGAGGGGGGUGGAAUUCCCGGUGUAGCGGUGAAGUGCGUAGAUAUCGGGAGGAACACCUGUGGCGAAGGCGGCCCCCUGGUUGGAUACUGACGCUGAUACGCGAAAGCGUGGGGAGCAAACAGG